GAUGAACGCUGGCGGCGUGCCUAAUACAUGCAAGUCGAGCGAACGGACGAGAAGCUUGCUUCUCUGAUGUUAGCGGCGGACGGGUGAGUAACACGUGGAUAACCUACCUAUAAGACUGGGAUAACUUCGGGAAACCGGAGCUAAUACCGGAUAAUAUUUUGAACCGCAUGGUUCAAAAGUGAAAGACGGUCUUGCUGUCACUUAUAGAUGGAUCCGGGCUGCAUUAGCUAGUUGGUAAGGUAACGGCUUACCAAGGCAACGAUGCAUAGCCGACCUGAGAGAGUGAUCGGCCACACGGGAGCUGAGACACGGUCCAGACGCCUACGGGAGGCAGCAGUAGGGAAUCUUCCGCAAUGGGCGAAAGCCUGACGGAGCAACGCCGCGUGAGUGAUGACGGUCUUCGGAUCGUAAAACUCUGUUAUUAGGGAAGAACAUAUGUGUAAGUAACUGUGCACAGCUUGACGGUACCUAAUCAGAAAGCCACGGCUAACUACGUG
rnacentral:rRNA from 1 species